rnacentral:rRNA from 1 species
CAGCCGCCGCGGUAAUACGAAGGGGGCUAGCGUUGUUCAGAUUUACUGGGCGUAAAGCGCACGUAGGCGGAUCGAUCAGUCAGGGGUGAAACCCCAGAGCUCAACUCUGGAACUGCCUUUGAUACUGUCGAUCUGGAGUAUGGAGGAGGUGAGUGGAAUUCCGAGUGUAGAGGUGAAAUUCGUAGAUAUUCGGAGGAACACCAGUGGCGAAGGCGGCUCACUGGUCCAUUACUGACGCUGAGGUGCGAAAGCGUGGGGAGCAAACAGGAUUAGAUACCCGCGUAGUCCCUGUCUCUUAUAA